UUUUUUUACUUCAUUGGCGCCAUUAAAGUUGACGGCAAUAUUUUUUUCAUAGGGAACAACUCCUCCUUCUGAGUUGGGGAUUCGUCACAUGGUAAUUUGUUUGUUCAUCUCAAGAGCUGGCCGUCGGACAUGCAAAUCAAAAAGCCCUGAUAUUUCCAUUCCUCACGAGCCUACACAUUAUCACAUUUUAUUAUCUUAUGUAGAUUAUAUCUGCAUUUUUCACAUACAGAUGGAGGAAUAAGGGAGGUAUCACAUACAGAUGGAGGAGUAAGGGAGGUAUCACAUACAGAUGGAGGAGUAAGGGAGGUAUAAUCUGCAGAUGGAAGAGUAAGGGAGGUAUCACAUACAGAUGGAGGAGUAAGGGAGGUAUAAUCUACAGAUGGAGAGGUAAAGGAGGUAUCACAUACAGAUGGACGAGAUCCCUUGAUAUCCAUGGAAAUCUAAAGUCUUU
ensembl:lncRNA